rnacentral:rRNA from 1 species
GACGAACGCUGGCGGCGUGCUUAACACAUGCAAGUCGAACGGAAAGGCCCUGCUUUUGUGGGGUGCUCGAGUGGCGAUCGGGUGAGUAACACGUGAGUAACCUGCCCUUGACUUUGGGAUAACUUCAGGAAACUGGGGCUAAUACCGGAUAGGAGCUCCUGCUGCAUGGGGGGGGUUGGAAAGUUUCGGCGGUUGGGGAUGGACUCGCGGCUUAUCAGCUUGUUGGUGGGGUAGUGGCUUACCAAGGCUUGGACGGGUAGCCGGCCUGAUCGGGUGACCGGCCCCAUUGGGACUGGGAUACGGCCCAGCCUCCUACGGGAGGCAGCAGUGGGGAAUAUUGCACAAUGGGCGGAAGCCUGAUGCAGCACCGCCGCGUGCGGGAUGACGGCCUUCGGGUUGUAAACCGCUUUCGCCUGUGACGAAGCGUGAGUGACGGUAAUGGGUAAAGAAGCACCGGCUAACUACGUG